UUUAAGGAUUUUUCUAACUCUCAAAAGCAUAACUAAAAACUCCUAAUAAUAAUCAAUCUAUAAGCAGCAAAUCCCAAAUAUAUCUUAGCUUUAGCUACUAAUGAUAAGGCAUUUAUAUUUCCACAACACAUAAACUGUAAGCUUCCAAACAGCUUCGAACUCUUCUUAAAACGUUCACACACACAUGUGAAAGAGAUCUUUUAUGUGCCAGAUUUCUUUACAACUCCAGGAUAAAUAGGCCUUGACAAGCGCUGGCUCCAUUAGCAAGUUAGCUUAGUAACCAACCCGAUGCGGGGAGAAGCUUCCUUCGUCCUUGAAGAGGCUCAACUCGAGUGGGCUUUAUUUCUCCAACUCCAACAGGCGUUGUGCGAUGUUGUCUACCGCUGGUCUGGUGAACUUCUUCCUGACUUGCUCUUGAAAGAAUCCUGCUUGAGAACAGUCUUUUGACUUAUUGUAGGUGCGGGAAGUUCGCACUAGUCUAGACCUCUUGAGUUCUUUCAUACGCGACACAUUACUUCGUAUAAAAAAAAGGGUCUUGAACCUGCUCUUUAAGUUUGUGACUUUUACUCGAGUUGAAAGAAUAAAACACAAAGAUACAGACUCAAAACAAAGAUAGUGACGGUCAAAAGACUAUGUUACUCCUGAGGUGCAGAAUCUCAGCAGCUGAACCAGAGUAUCUGAUGAAACCAAAAGGUGACAGAAUGAAAAGGCAAAAAUGUUAGGUAAACAAAUAUCCAGUUUUUAUUUCAAUAUGAACUUCAUAGUGUAGACGAUGCAUUAUUCAAUAUGGCCUGGUUGUAAGUAUGUAUAUCUGCAUAUUUGCAUGUGUAAAAGUUCAAACCAUGAACUACUUGUCAAUAACAUACCUCCAUCUUUGUAAAACUGCACAACUGCAGCUGCUGCCCAAAUGGCGUCUUUGACAUUUUCAUGUGGGAGAUGGAGACCUUCUUCUACAUGCAGUUCUUGCAUCACUGCCACCUCCCUUUAAAGGGACACUGCCAUGAAGAAGUGGUUCUGUUGCAAUAACAGAAUUUUUUUAAGCAGGUAAUGUACUUCAUGAAAAAACAAUGUUGAAGUCUAUGGGAGAUUGUAACAAAAGUGAAGAUUCAACACAGUCAGCUGGCUUCCUCAGAUACAUAACUUUAAUUUGCAUUUAUAAUUAGUUUGAAUGUUUUUGUACGGUGACCUUUACUGUGAAUCUGCUCAAUUUGAAAUCAGCUUUCACUGUUUGAAUCAAAUUCUGGUGUUGAAGGAGACUGACUAUCUGCUGUUGCUGGGAUUAACAGCCUCUGAGUAUUUAUUGUUCAAGCUGAUCUGAGAAGCCCAUUUUCUGCUAACAGAAGUGCAUUGCUCUUAGCGGCUGACAGACAGACAUUAAAACUGUCCUUCUCCCCUUCUAGCCACAAAGAAACAUGUAAUUUAACAUGUAAUUAUUUGAGAAUAAUAAAAAAAAGUAUUUAAAAUACCUGCUAAAUUCUUAUUUCGGAGGUGAGUCCCUUCCAGACUGGACUCGUCUUACUGCAGAGAUCUGAGAAAAACAUCUAGGGUUAUUAGUACAACGUAACAAAUGCUUUUCUGCUAAUGUGUAUUUGUUCAUAGGACAUAUUUGUCAUAUUAAAGCAGUCAAUUUUAAAAUUAAAUCAAUUAAUUAAAAAUACACACCUCCACAUCUUCCCUCUCCACAGACACUAAAUGCAUUUUAUCAAGGGUUUCCCAGAGUGGUGUCUUGGGAUCAGGGGGGCAGUGAGAUGUGGAGAUGCUCUGAAGACCUGGGUUCUUUUAAUGAUGUUUAUUUGAUUUUGAGGAGCUUGCCACUCGUAUUUUGGGAAAAGAUGCUUAAAUACAUUUUUUGUCACAACUUUGUGAGUUGUUUAAAAGUUGUUGCAGUGUAAACAACGUGAUAUGGAAUACCGGUAGAUGUGAUGAUUUUUAUGUCGCCCUACAACUUCUAACAUUGUCAGUCAGUCAGUCAUUUUCUACCGCUUAUUCCAUAGUGGGUCGCGGGGGAGCUAGUGCCUAUCUCCAGCAGUCUAUGGGCGAGAGGCGGGGUACACCCUGGACAGGUCGCCAGUCCAUCGCAGGGCAACUUCUAACAUUGUCUUUUUGGAUAAUAAUACCUAAAAAAAAAAAACAUAAUGUUACAUGGAGAAUAUGUGUAAUAUCUGUGGCACAUUGUCCCAAAGUAAGAGUUGUAGUAUGAUCAAGAUAAUGUGCUCUAUGUGUGCUAUGAGUUUGAUGGCACUACAACAUGCCAUAGUAAAGUUAUUGACCAUUUUAUACAUAUUUUAAUGGUAGGAAAAUACAAAAAAUCUAUUUAAACAUCAUUAAAAUGAAAGCCCAUUAUCCAAAGCUAUUUGAUUGAUAGAGCAAACUGGUAUUCAUGAUGUUUUUUUUCUAUCCUACAUCUAGCAAAAGAGAUUUUACUGAAUAUUUGGCUAUUUAGGCUAUAGUCUUUGGGAAAUAACAAUGUUUUUUAAGUAUUAUUUUCCAAUCCAAGAAAUGUAGUAUGAAAAACAUGAGAUUACAUACACAUAAAAUGAUUUUAAUGACAAUACACCUUCUACUAUGGAACUACCAGUUCUGCCUGCCACUGCCACAAAUUGAGCUUGGCCCUGCUGCAAUUCAAUCAAUUUCUCAGCACGGUUGCAAUGUAAUGUGUAACUCUUGUCAAAAAGUUAGAACAUUUUGAUGGUUUAACAGUACAUAGGUAGUUGAUAAAUACGUAAAAAAAAUAGUUAUUAAAUAUUACUGGGAAAAGUAAAAAAUAAAUUUUUUAAAUAAAAAUAAAAUAUAUAUACACAUUAUGAUAGUUAAGUGUAGAUGCCCUCAUAAAUGGUUCAUGGGGUAUUUUCUAUUUAAAAGCAAUGUUGUAAACUGCUUUGUUGUCAAUAAAGUUUUCCAGGAGCGCCCCUCCCUCAAAGUAGCUGCUAGCACGAUAAAGUUGGAGGAUAAUUAAACAUUUCCAUAGGACUCUUAAUCCUUUUCUUUCUGAGGGAGGAGCGUGAUCUGGAAAAAGACUAAAACCCUUAAUAGGACGAGCUUUGGCUGGUGCGUCAGACAAUGACCAUUCUAACCUCGAGCCCAUCAAGCGGCCUCCCAGCUAACGGCCGUGGAAGAGCACCUGCCAGAUAAUCAGCUCACCCAUGGAGGACACCCGAGAGGAGCUAACAUCUCAAGCUCCUUCUUCUGGAAAGGAGUCUUCUGUUAAAGCCUAAACACAGCCAGGAAAUGGGGUAACUGCGGACUUCCUGUGGCGCCAAUACCCAAAUAAAAG